UGGCUACAGAACGAACGCUGGCGGCAGGCUUAACACAUGCAAGUCGAGCGCCCGCAAGGGGAGCGGCAGACGGGUGAGUAACGCGUGGGAACGUGCCCUUUGGUUCGGAACAACUCCGGGAAACUGGAGCUAAUACCGGAUAAGCCCUUCGGGGGAAAGAUUUAUCGCCAAAGGAUCGGCCCGCGUCUGAUUAGCUAGUUGGUGAGGUAAUGGCUCACCAAGGCGACGAUCAGUAGCUGGUCUGAGAGGAUGAUCAGCCACACUGGGACUGAGACACGGCCCAGACUCCUACGGGAGGCAGCAGUGGGGAAUAUUGGACAAUGGGCGCAAGCCUGAUCCAGCCAUGCCGCGUGAGUGAUGAAGGCCUUAGGGUUGUAAAGCUCUUUUGUCCGGGAAGAUAAUGACUGUACCGGAAGAAUAAGCCCCGGCUAACUUCGUG
rnacentral:rRNA from 1 species